rnacentral:rRNA from 1 species
UACGGAGGGAGCUAGCGUUGUUCGGAAUUACUGGGCGUAAAGCGCACGUAGGCGGCUUUGUAAGUUAGAGGUGAAAGCCCGGGGCUCAACCCCGGAAUUGCCUUUAAGACUGCAUCGCUUGAAUCCGGGAGAGGUGAGUGGAAUUCCGAGUGUAGAGGUGAAAUUCGUAGAUAUUCGGAAGAACACCAGUGGCGAAGGCGACUGACUGGACAAGUAUUGACGCUGAGGUGCGAAAGCGUGGGGAGCAAACAGG